CACGUAGGGGCCAAGCGUUGUCCGGAUUCAUUGGGCGUAAAGAGCUCGUAGGCGGUUCAGUUAGUCGGGUGUGAAAUCUCCGGGCUCAACCCGGAGGGGCCACCCGAUACUGCUGUGACUCGAGUCCGGUAGGGGAGUGGGGAAUUCCUGGUGUAGCGGUGAAAUGCGCAGAUAUCAGGAGGAACACCGGUGGCGAAGGCGCCACUCUGGGCCGGUACUGACGCUGAGGAGCGAAAGCUAGGGGAGCAAACGGG
rnacentral:rRNA from 1 species